CCUACGGGAGGCAGCAGUGAGGAAUAUUGGACAAUGGGCGCAAGCCUGAUCCAGCCAUGCCGCGUGCAGGAAGACGGUCCUAUGGAUUGUAAACUGCUUUUGUACGGGAAGAAACACUCCUACGUGUAGGAGCUUGACGGUACCGUAAGAAUAAGGAUCGGCUAACUCCGUGCCAGCAGCCGCGGUAAUACGGAGGAUCCAAGCGUUAUCCGGAAUCAUUGGGUUUAAAGGGUCCGUAGGCGGUUUAGUAAGUCAGUGGUGAAAGCCCAUCGCUCAACGAUGGAACGGCCAUUGAUACUGCUAGACUUGAAUUACUAGGAAGUAACUAGAAUAUGUAGUGUAGCGGUGAAAUGCUUAGAUAUUACAUGGAAUACCAAUUGCGAAGGCAGGUUACUACUAGUGGAUUGACGCUGAUGGACGAAAGCGUGGGGAGCGAACAGGAUUAGAUACCCUGGUAGUCCACGCCGUAAACGAUGGAUACUAGCUGUUCGGGGCAACCUGAGUGGCUAAGCGAAAGUGAUAAGUAUCCACCUGGGGAGUACGUUCGCAAGAAUGAAACUUAAAGGAAUUGACGG
rnacentral:rRNA from 1 species